rnacentral:rRNA from 1 species
AUUGAACGCUGGCGGAAUGCUUUACACAUGCAAGUCGAACGGCAGCACGGACUUCGGUCUGGUGGCGAGUGGCGAACGGGUGAGUAAUGUAUCGGAACGUGCCCAGUCGUGGGGGAUAACGUAGUGAAAAUUACGCUAAUACCGCAUACGAUCUAUGGAUGAAAGCGGGGGAUCGCAAGACCUCGCGCGAUUGGAGCGGCCGAUAUCAGAUCAGGUAGUUGGUGGGGUAAAGGCCCACCAAGCCAACGAUCUGUAGCUGGUCUGAGAGGACGACCAGCCACACUGGAACUGAGACAGGGUCCAGACUCCUACGGGAGGCAGCAGUGGGGAAUUUUGGACAAUGGGCGAAAGCCUGAUCCAGCCAUUCCGCGUGCAGGAUGGAGGCCCUCGGGUUGUAAACUGCUUUUGUACAGAACGAAAAGGUUUCUACUAAUACUAGGAGCUCAUGACGGUACUGUAAGAAUAAGCACCGGCUAACUACGUGCCAGCCGCCGCCGUAA